CCGAGACUUUGCGGCACGAAGCUAACGUGGAGUUCACGGCUCUUAUGUAGCGGGUCGGUGGAAUAGAGAAGGAGCAGCUGAGGGCCGUCUGCUCGCGGAGGGCGAAGCCUUAGCGCCGCCUAACAACAGCCCACCUCAGAGAAGAGGGGCGGGGCGAGAGGAAAAUCUCUUUCAAAAUCCCACUCGACGCCUCGAGGCCGACGUUGACAACUUGUCAAACGGUAAACCAGCUCUGAUUCAAGGAUGAAGACAACACGCUCCAACUGCAGCCUGCUGCUGCUGCUGCUGCUGCUGCUGCUUACUCUUCAAGGGAUAUGUGAUGUUAAGAGGAUGGAUGCUCAGCCUUUUUUGCUUCGCCGUCCUUCCACUGAACCGGCGUGCCUUGGGGUGAUCAUCCUUAUUUUGUUGCAUUGGCUUAUUACAAUGCCAGUAGUCUUUUUUGUUUUUUGCAUUUAACCACGGGGGCCUUUGCCUUGUGAUGUGAGAACGAGACGCUCCACAGGGGGUGUAUCACACAGUGGCCUCUAACAUAUUCCCCCAAAAAAUGCCUUCUUGGAAAAAAAAUUAAAAGUAUUGAAAUGA